rnacentral:lncRNA from 1 species
UAUGUGUAUAAUUUUUCUCCCCCCACUCCAACCCCCAAUAGCUCUAGCAUCUCCCCUGGCUGCAAACUAGACUCCCCCGGAAACAGCCGGGGAGCUGCCGGCUUCGCGGUCAUUAGCACGCAGGGAAGGGGGUGUGGGAGGAGGGAGCAGUCAGCACGAGGAGCCCAGACAGAGGAUCCAGCUGGAACAAUGACGGGGGCCUGCCCAGCCAGCCCCAGCUGCUUCCUUUUCAGUGGCCCUGUGCCCCCUGCCAGAUCCUGCCUGGGGGAACUGGAGUCUGGGUCCACGAUGGAAAUCUGCCCUUGAAGAACUGCCCCCAGGGAUGGAUUCCAGUGCUAUGCUCCACGUAGCACCUUCCCUACCCCACUUCCUACUCCUCAAGCCCCUCUAGGUCCUGGUGACAUCCACUCCUCCAGCCAGCCCUCCCAGCCUGCUGGCA